ACGCUCGACACCUACGGGGGGCAGCAGUCGGGAAUAUUGCGCAAUGGAGGAAACUCUGACGCAGUGACGCCGCGUGCAGGAAGAAGGUUUUCGGAUUGUAAACUGCUCUAGACAGGGAAGAAAGAAAUGACAGUACCUGUAGAAUAAGCUCCGGCUAACUACGUGCCGGCAGCCGCGGUAAUCUGAGCGGGCUGGCAAGGC
rnacentral:rRNA from 1 species